GUGUGAGCUGAGAACAUCUUACAAAGGCAGGUCUGGUUUUACCCUUCAUGCUUCUCUGUUUAGGCUCUCAAUGGCUUAACCCAAGAGUGGUUAGUCAGUCAUAAAGGAAGCUGGUUAUUAUGAGAAGACAAAAGAAAAUUAUUGGAAAGCAAAUGAAAUAUAUAUAAAACAAUAAUACCAGUGUCAAGGUGUACUACAAUAAGACAAAUAAGAAAAACAAAAUACAAAAACUACAGAUGAAUAAAAGUAAAUAACUGAAGGAUAUAAGAUGUUCAGAAUUCAUUAGCAUUAACACUAAUAAAUAAAAAUGGUCAAAAUACAAUAAAAGAAGUUUGAAGGAACUAUUUAAGGGCCAGCAACAGGUUAACAGCCAGUAAACUGAGGAGCAAUUUUUAACUUAGCUUUCUACAUUACUUAAGAAUAUUCAGUCACUAGUUUAGGUAGGGUGUUCAGUUUUGUGUGACCUGGAUUGACCUCAUUGCACACUGGACUUGAAAUUCACCCCAGGUCAAAAUAUAGGCCGAGUAAAUUCCCUUGAACCUAUUGCAUUAAUACUAACAAUAUAUAUUUAACCCCAAACCAAAAUUCACCCCAGGUCAAAAUAUAGGCCGAGUAAAUUCCCUUGAACCUAUUGCAUUAAUACUAACAAUAAUUCACCCCAGGUCAAAAUAAAGGCCGAGUAAAUUCCCUUGAACCUACUGCAUUAAUAGUAACAAUAUAUAUUUAACCCCAAACCAAAAUUCACCCCAGGUCAAAAUAUAGGCCGAGUAAAUUCCCUUGAACCUAUUGCAUUAAUACUAACAAUAUAUAUUUAACCCCAAAC